AGUCUCUAAGGUGCCACAAGUACUCCUGUUCUUUUUGUGGAUACAGACUAACACGGCUGCUACUCUGAAACAAAGGACUUGGGAAUUUUACCAGACUCCUAACAGCCAAGUGGCUAAACAUACCAGACAGGGGCAGUGCCCAGGUGAGAUGUCCUUCCUUCCUAACCCUCCAUCUCUCUUAAGGUGUUGGGAAAUGGGAAGGUGCUGAGAUUCCUAUCCUGAUGCUCUUCUGGUACCCUCCUCAAAGUGUCAUCUUUUAGAUCAGUCUUCAGCUAGUACUUGUCCAAUAAAUUUGAAGCAGUGCCUCCCAUCGCCAACCAAAUCAUCCUGGCUGUUAGAAGGGAGAAGGAGUAUUCGCUGUGUUCCCUCUAUAUGUCUUAUCUAGAUAUUUGAGCAACUUUAUAAGGGCCUCAUAAUGUAGUAUCUGAGCCCCUUACAAUCUUUAACAAAUGUAAUGUAUUUAUCCUCACAAUGCCCCUGUGAGGCAGGGAAGAACAGGAAAACUGAGCAGCAGCAGAUUGAACUGUCCGUCUGCUGAUGGAUUAAACAGACACAACUCGUCUACCUGGGGGUUUUAAACCAGUUCAAGUUGAGUUAAUCUGGUUCUAUAAUGCUAGCAUACACGUGACGCAACGCAUCCCCGUGCAUUAACUCCACGCUUACAGCAAAACUCUGGAGUCCUCUAGCAAAGUGGACUAAGUUUGCUACAAAUUGAUUUAGUUAGAUCUGUUGUUUGUGUGUAUGCACUGCUCCAACAGCUAUCCCUCAGUGCUUUGAAGUCAACCAUUACUGGCCUGUCUAUGUACCUGUGUGCAUCCCCUGCCCUGGUGUCAAGAUCCCAGGACAGACCCGCCCUGUAGGUAUGAGACCAGCUUUUGCCCAUUUGCUCCUGGGCUCGAGUGUAUCAGUAUUCUUGCAGUACUAUAACAAUUCCACUCCACGGUCCCCACAACUUGCCUUGUGCUACUGCUUGGAGCCACAUUGAGACCCUGCAUCUCAUUGCCAUCUGGGAGAAGAGUCAGUGCAGGAAGCUCUUUUGGUCACAUCAGGAUGAAGAACAGUUUGUGGGUGUCGUGAAGCAGAUGUCCACAAAGAGUCAUGAUCGGGACACCAAGCUGUGCUGGAGAAAGAGCAUGCAGCUCAGGAGGGCCUACCUUAAGAUGAGGGAUGCAAGGAAGACAUCCACCAGGAGACAUGUAACCUCUCCAUUUUACAAAGAACUGGACAGACCAGCAAACACUUUUGGAUCUUGCUGCCAGCCCUUUUCCAACUGCCAAAGGGCAACCAGGAAGAUGAGUGGGAUGAGGGCAAAGAGCUGUCCCCUGAGAGCCAGGUGAAAAUCAACCCAGUUCCUGCCCUGCAGCUGUAGAGCCCAAUUCCUGCCCUCUAUCAGCUGAGCCCAAGUCCCCGCCAGUAACCCAGGCCGGGACCAGAGAGACAUCCUCUGGAGGGAACUUCGGCAUCCAUGGCACCUGCAAUGGUCAGACCGCCAAGGAGAGGGCCUCUGUCAAUGGCAGAGUGCCUGGCCAACCUGAGGGGGCAUAAAAGGAAGACUUGGGACAAGAUGUUUGCACAGCUUAUAGCAGAGUCCCGAAGAAAAAUUCAAGAUUUGUGAAAGGUGGAGGUAGUAUCUGAGGAGCCAAAGGGAGAAAAAAAUGGAGCUGUCAAACAAGACAUUGUCAGUGGCCAUGGACAACAUCACAGUCACCAGGGAAAGCAUUGCCAUAACCAAGGAGAGCUUGGAAAAGGACAGGGAAAUGCAGAGGCAGUUCAGAGAGACUAUAUUAAGCCAAAAAAUGCUGCUUCAUCGUAUGGUGGUGCUAGGACAGCAGGUGCUGCACGUUCUUCAGCCCCUGGACAAUACAAGUUAUUGGGGCCACCUGCAACUCCACCCUGCUCCAGCCCCCUGGAGCAGUGUUCCCAGAAGCCAUGCCCCUUGCAGAGGUCAACCUCUGAGCACAGAGAAAAAAUGCAUCUGAGAGCCCAGCUCUUUUGAGUCCUUCAGUGCCCCUGAUAACUUUGAGCCACGGCACUCAAUCCCAGAAAUCCCACGAACAGGAAGAGAUGGAAGCAAGGCGUAUACUUGCCUGUAACUUUAAGCCCCUCCGCCCCGCCAACUGUUCUGCACUGCAAUGCACUUUCAGUGUUGGCUGUACUGUUAUUUUGUUUAAUAUAUUUUCGAUUAAAAGCUGCUGUAGUAUUGCAUCAGUAAAAACUUAAUUUUUGGUU